rnacentral:rRNA from 1 species
AUGGACGAACGGAUCCUAGAAGCAGCCACCGAUGGUGAUUCCUCAUCAAUUAAAGAGUGGGCCAAGGAGAAUCCAGGCAUUCUGCUUGGAACAAGCCCACAAGGGAACAACUGCCUCCACAUCUCCACCAUCCAUGGGCACAAAAAAUUCUGCAUGGAUGUGCUGGAACUAGAGCCGUCUCUCCUUUCAGAUGUCAACUGCGAGCACGAGACGCCGCUUAUCAUCGCUGUAACACUUGGCCAUGCAUCUUUGGUUUCAUAUUUACUCGAGUGCUGCCGCAAAGAAGAAGAAUUGAGGCGGACAAUCUUGCAACAAGACAGGUAUGGAUUCAACGCACUUCACCAUGCCAUUCGCAACGGCUACCAGAAGCUCGCGCUGGAGUUGAUAAAAGCAGAGCCCGCCCUGUCUAAAGCCGUGACCAGGUACAAUGAGUCGCCCAUGUUCAUGGCCGUGAUGAGGAAUUUUGCAGAUGUUUCCGAAAAGCUAUUAGCCAUUGUUGAUUCUUCCCAUGUGGGAAAGUAUGGCCGCCAUGCUCUUCAUGCUGCAGCUAGAAAUGGAAAUGAAGAUAUUGCGGACGAAAUUUUGGAGAAACGUUCUCACCUGGCCAGAGAAGCUGACUCGGAUGGGAUUACUCCAAUACGAAUGGCUGUAUCUCAUGACAAGUCUGACGUGCUGAUCACAUUGCUGCAACAUGAUUCUUCUUUAGCAUAUGAAACCGACAAGACUGGUUAUCCUCUCCUCUGUUCGGCCGCUACUCGGGGUCAAGUUAAUGUUGCUCGAGUGCUUCUUCUCUAUUGCCCGGAUGCUUUUUAUUGCCCGGUACUCAGAGAUGGUACGGCAAUUGGAAAAAGUUUGACAUGCCUUCACAUAGCUGUACAGAACGGUCAUCUAGAGUUCGUCGAAUUUAUCUUGAGGAGGCCGCAACUUCGGAAACUCAUUAACAUGCAAGACAUGGAUGGAAAAAAUGCUCUGCAUUACGCAAUCCAGCAGUGUGAUCCUAAACUUGUUGCUGCAUUACUGGCUCAUGACGAUAUAAUAGACACUACAAUUCUCGACAACCAUGGUAACUCAGCGGCUUCGCAAUUAUCGAGCAUUACUGAUGAAGACAAGCCUUUAGACUGGAAGGAAGUGCACGUGCUUAUGUGA